GCCACUCAGUUGGUUAGAGUGUCAUACUAAUAAUGCGAAGGUCUUGGGUUCAACCCCACGAUGGCC